AAAACUUAAAGGUGCCCUACAGUCCGUAUGUAAACAAAGCCUUUGUUUACAUUUUUGUGUCCAAAAUAUAUUGAGCUUUAUUCGACAACUAUUUAUAUUUUCAAGCUUCUAGAGUAUAAUAAAUGAUCAAGAAACAACAAUCAGGCUUUUCAAGAACCCAAAACAUAGUUAAACUGUUUGUAUCAUAAAAAGUGGGCUCCUUUGUGCACAUGCGCAGAUCGGACUGUAGAGCACCUUUAAAUU